AUUGAACGCUGGCGGCAUGCCUUAUACAUGCAAGUCGAACGACGCCAGGGGGCAACUCCUGGCGAGUGGCAAACGGGUGAGUAAUACAUCGGAACGUGUCCCGUCGUGGGGGACAACCAGUCGAAAGACUGGCUAAUACCGCAUGAGAUCGAAAGAUGAGAGCGGGGGAUCCGCAAGGACCUCGCGCGAUGGGAGCGGCCGAUGUCGGAUUAGCUUGUUGGCGGGGUAACGGCCCACCAAGGCGAAGAUCCGUAGCUGGUUUGAGAGAACGACCAGCCACACUGGGACUGAGACACGGCCCAGACUCCUACGGGAGGCAGCAGUGGGGAAUAUUGCGCAAUGGGGGAAACCCUGACGCAGCAACGCCGCGUGGGUGAAGAAGGCCUUCGGGUCGUAAAGCCCUUUCGGACGGGACGAACGCUUCGCGGCGACAACCCGCGAAGUCUGACGGUACCGUAGGAAGAAGCACCGGCUAACUCCGUGCCAGCCGCCGCAGUAACAA
rnacentral:rRNA from 1 species